GCGUUCAUGGCUGAAUGGUCAAAGUUUCCAACUCAUAAUUGGCGAAUUCGAAGGUUCAAUUCCUACCGGAUGAA
rfam:Cajanus cajan CcLG06_1050, whole genome shotgun sequence.